rnacentral:rRNA from 1 species
GACGAACGCUGGCGGCGUGCUUAACACAUGCAAGUCGAACGGUGAAGCGCCUUCCUUUUUGGUGGGUGUGGAUGAGUGGCGAACGGGUGAGUAACACGUGAGUAACCUGCCCCCUUCUUCUGGAUAACCGCAUGAAAGUGUGGCUAAUACGGGAUAUUCUGGGUCUGUCGCAUGAUGGGUCUGGGAAAGAUAUUGUUUCGGUGGGGGAUGGGCUCGCGGCCUAUCAGCUUGUUGGUGGGGUGAUGGCCUACCAAGGCGGGGACGGGUAGCCGGCCUGAGAGGGUGGACGGUCACACUGGGACUGAGACACGGCCCAGACUCCUACGGGAGGCAGCAGUGGGGAAUAUUGCACAAUGGGCGCAAGCCUGAUGCAGCGACGCCGCGGGAGGGAUGGAGGCCUUCGGGUUGUGAACCUCUUUCGCCAGUGAAGCAGGCCUGCCUCGUUUGUGGGUGGGUUGACGGUAGCUGGAUAAGAAGCGCCGGCUAACUACGUG